UCAUAUAAUACUUCAUUCUAAUAUCUAAUAUGUUUUCGAACUCUAUAUCUCAUUAUUACGCAUGAAGAGAGAAACUACACUCAUCACUACAAUCGAUAUACUUUUCUUACGAAAAUAUCUAUUUUAUCUCUCCCAAUCUUUUUGGUUUACGAUCUUCUUUCUCUCACAAUCUCUUUGGUUUCUCCGUAAUUACGACCCUCCUUCUCUCAUAAUCUCUUUGAUUUCUCCGUCAAAACCAUUGUUCACAAAGAAUCUUCCAUCUCACUCAAUGAUCUCUUUGGUUUCUCCGACGGAACCCUUCUCCCUAUAUAAACGAAAUCGCACCGGACUGUCUGUAUCAGUCUCACCAGAUUCGAGAGUCGUGGUGGUGGUGGCACGGAUCGGAUCGUUCGUAGAUCAGAAGCUAUCACACAUGGUACCACCUCUCAGAAAGUUGCUGCUCUCAUCAAUCUGACUUUGAGCUUGAGGAAGAAGAGAUGUCUUUCUGAUGAGGAAGAUGAAUGUAGAUAAAAUGGUCAGCCUUAUCAGAGACCGAUACCCAUUUACAAAGAAAAUGUUCAUAGGAAGAGCUACAAAGGCCGAUGUAGAGCGGAUGAGAGAGGAGGCCGAUGUUGCAGCCCUAGAAAGGAAGAAAAGAAAGAGGAAAAGCACUCAUGUCUUUCACUUUUAUUUAAUAAUAUAAUUUGUGAAAUAGUCGGCUAAUACUUUAUUUGACUUUUUUGUAAUAGUUAGCCGGUAAUAUAUUAAUUAUCUCGACAUUGUUAUAAUUAACCGGUUAAGAUUUUACUUGA